rnacentral:rRNA from 1 species
CGAGCGCAACCCUCGCCUCUAGUUGCCAGCAUUCGGUUGGGCACUCUAGAGGGAACUGCCGGCGACAAGUCGGAGGAAGUGGGGAUGACGUCAAAUCAUCAUGCCCCUUAUGACCUGGGCUACACACGUGCUACAAUGGGCGGUACAAAGGGCUGCGAACCCGCGAGGGGGAGCGAAUCCCAAAAAGCCGCUCUCAGUUCGGAUUGCAGGCUGCAACUCGCCUGCAUGAAGCCGGAAUCGCUAGUAAUCGCGGAUCAGCAUGCCGCGGUGAAUACCGGUUCCCGGGCCUU